rnacentral:tRNA from 3 species
GGGCUUGUAGUAUAGUGGUAGUACGCGGCAUUCGCAUUGCCGAGACGCGGGUUCGACUCCCGCCGAGUCCACUA